AAGCAUGCAUGGGAAAAGGAAAUUGAUAAACAUGGGGGAGAAAGAUGCAAAUUCAAUUCUGCUGGGAAUUUCAGAAAUAAAGAAAUAUGAGAAGAAUUUCCCCAUGCCCAGGAAUGAAGAAGCCCUUCAGCAAGAACGGGUGUUGGAGGACAGGCAUGGGUAGGGCUGGGAAGGCUGUCUCAUGAAAGACUGGGAAAGUGGAUGGACUCCUGGAAUGCCUGCCUGGAAGUCUGCCUUGAACCGGUAGGCAAGGUGAAUUCACUCAGGUUUGCUUGGGGAACCCAGCAAGUAGUCGCUAAAGGAUGGAUGGGACCGAAAGGUAAGUUUGGAAACGGAUGGAGUUGUCUAGAGCAGAGACCAGUUGAUGCCCACUGAGAAGCUGGAGUUGGUGAAGAAAGUGAACAUGUAAAUGACCAAGAAGGAAUGUCAGUAUUGAGUCACCCCAGUGUGGUGCUGGGAUCAGACCCAGGGCUUGGCCUGGCUAGAAAAACAGUCACAGAGCUAUGGUCAAGCCUUUGCUUUUAUGCUUGCUUCAUUCUGUAGUUCAUUGCUCACACUGUAGCCCAGGCUAGCUUUCCUGCCUUACCACCAAACUUCAGUGUGUGUCACCAUGCCUGAAUCACCAUGCCUGGAUCCCCAUGUCUGGAAUCACCAAGCCUGAAUCACCAUGCCUGGAUCCCCAUGUCUGGAAUCACCAAGCCUGGAUCACCAUGCCUGGAAUCACCAUGCCUGGAUCACCAUGCCUGGAAUCACCAAGCCUGGAAUCAGCCUCCUUGUUUUUAUUUUGUUUGAAUGUCUUCUCAAGAUAGUUUUGUUUUUAAAUAACAAACAGAAACCAAGGCUGUCCUACAAAACAGCCCUUCAAAGGAGGCAUGUAAAAUAUGAAAGUGGCCCUAAUGCGACAGAGCCACCACGCGUUUCUCCUGGACAACAGGCCUUCCUGCUCUGCAAUCACGUAGGGGCAUUUAACUCGGCAUCCAAAGAAAACUGGUUCUCCCCAAGCCCGACAUCUAGACUGAGAACCAGAAACUGGAAGCUCCAGAGGGAAACGGCUUAUCUGAGGUUACCCCAGCUGAGUCAGCAGCACAGUAGAAGAUCCGAAGACAGAGACCAUCCUUAAAACACUGCCACGGCUUCUCUAGCCUCGACCUAUGACCUGCUGUCCUUAUUCCUUACAAAGUUGCUGUCAGUCACUGAGGGUGGGUUCCCCUCCCGAGGUCUGUAUUGUGAGCCUGUAAUCCCAGCACAAGGGUGAGGAAGACAGCAGGAUCAUUCUCAGCUGCACUGUGAGCUCCAGGACGGUCUCAGCUCCUUAAGACCUUAUCCCAAGGGAAAAAAAAGAAAUCACACUUUAACAAGGAGCACAGAAAAGAUGUUUCUUUUGCUUUACUGGGAAGGAAAUGGGUUGUGCAGUUUUAAGGGGUUGCUAUGGCACUGGAGAGGCAGUUCAGCAGUUAAGGUAAGGUAUUACUCUUGUAAUGAAUCUUUCUCUGUCUUGCCUGCCAGCUUUCAAAUAAUGACAUAGAGACUUCUUAUUAUUUAAGAAAGCUCGGCCUAUAGUUUAGGCUUAUUUGUAACUAGCUCUUAUAACUUAAACUAACCCAUUUAUAUUAAUCUACGGUCUUCACAUGGCAUUACCUCUCUUCCAUCUUGCAACUUCUAUUUCCUUUCCAUGUUUCCUGACUUCUCCCACGUACCUAGCUUCCUCCUUCUCUUUCUUUCUCUCCCCAGAAGUCCCGCCUACACUUCCUACCUGGGCCGUUCAGCUUUUUAUUUCCACAAUCACAGCAAUGCACCUUCACACACUGUACACAUAUCCCAUAGCAUAGUCUUGCAGAGAGAGAGUUCAGUUCCCAGCACCCACAGCAGGCAACUCACAGCCGCCUGUAACUCACAAGGGAACCUGACACCUCUGCCCUCAGGCAUACCCCCCCCCACAUAAUUAGAAAUAAUAAAAACAAUCCUAAUUUUUAAAAAGUGUUACUAGUUGCUUCCGUAAAACUAAGCAUACUUUUUUUUGUUGGGGGGGUGGAUGCAGCUCAUCCAUGAGUCCCUGAGCAUGCGCAAGAGAAAACACAAAAGUGUCUCAAAAUGAUACAGGGAUUCUAAAUUUAUUAAAGGCUUUUUUUUGUUUUGUUUUGUUUUCGGCUCUUAUUUGUUGGAAGAGGGAAGAACUAAGAUUUCCUCCUUGGCACUGUUAUUUCUUCUGGGGUGGGAAAGAAUGUCUGCCCUCUUGGUGCCUUGUUAUUGUUCUGUCUUGACAAACUCCAUCCGGAGAAGAGCAGAUUUUCUCUGGCGGACAGCCACGUGUGGUGGAAAAACCCUUUACCCCAGCCCCCCUGCUAAUCCAUUGGACAAUCUUUGGACAACUGACCAGGGUCACCAACCCCCAUGGUGACCUUCGGAGGGAAAUACAGGACUGCUGAACUCUAGAAGGAAAGGAGGGGUUGGUGAGUGAGCCGCAGUUUCCCGACUGUCCUCUGCCCUGCCGACACCGCUAAGGUGCCCUACCCUUUCUGUUCACACUCUUCCCCACUGCCUAAGGUCAGCCUCAACACCUGACAAACCCUGAGAGGAAGAAAAGAUUCUCUCAGACCCAACUUGGAACGUUCCUAGAGUUUAACUAUGUGUAUACGUGUGUGUGUGUGUGUGUGUGUGUGUGUGUGUGUUCAUAUACCCACAGAGGCUAGAAAGGCAUCCAGGCCCCCCCCCCCCGCACCCCCCUCUCCGCAUCCCAGCUGCAGUUUGUGAGCAGCCAGAUGUGGGUGCAGGGAACUGAACUCUCCUCAGGAGCGGCAGGUGCUCUUAAUUGUUGAGCCAUCUCCGCAGCCCUGUUUUCUGAGGCUUUUAGUGCUUUCUUCUCACUCAGGUUGGCCCUGGGGGACAAAGGUUUCCCAGCGAAAUAUUUUCACCCGUACAUUCGUUUCUAUCUGAACAAGGCUAAUUUAAGUCCCUGAAAACUAGAAUUACUUCUUUGAAGCAUAAAAAGGAGAGUUCACGGGUUUCUGAAACUUAGGAGGGUUGGUUGCGCCUUUCUUUUCUCCUUCUGGACGACUUAGACACUGACUCACACACACACACACACACACACACACA